AACUGAUACUACCUGCGGGAACCUGCGGAAGGAUCAUUACCGAGUUAGGGUCUUCUCAGGCCCGACCUCCCAACCCUAUGUUUAUUAAACCUAUGUUGCUUCGGCGGGCCCGUCUCACGACCGCCGGGGGACAGUAAGAUGUCCUCUGGCCCGCGCCCGCCGGUGGCCUAACUUGACAAACUCUGAUCGAAUCGUGUCACUGUCUGAGUACCAUUUUUAAUUAAAGCAAAACUUUCAACA
rnacentral:misc_RNA from 1 species